rnacentral:rRNA from 1 species
CAAUAGCGUAUAUUAAAGUUGUUGCGGUUAAAAAGCUCGUAGUUGGAUUUCUGCCGAGGACGACCAGUCCGCCCACUGGGUGAGCAUCUGGCUCAGCCUUAGCAUCUUCUUGGAGAACGUAUCUGCACUUCAUUGUGUGGUGCGGUAACCAGGACUUUUACUUUGAGGAAAUUAGAGUGUUUCAAGCAGGCGUGCGCCUUGAAUACAUUAGCAUGGAAUAAUAAGAUAGGACCUUAGUUCUAUUUUGUUGGUUUCUAGAGCUGGGGUAAAGAUUAAUAGGGAUAGUUGGGGGCAUUCGUAUUUCGUUGUCAGAGGUGAAAUUCUUGGAUUUACGAAAGACGAACUACUGCGAAAGCAUUUGCCAAGAAUGUUUUCAUUAA